GACGAAGGGGGCUAGCGUUGUUCGGAAUUACUGGGCGUAAAGCGCACGUAGGCGGAUUGUUAAGUCAGAGGUGAAAUCCCGGAGCUCAACUUCGGAACUGCCUUUGAUACUGGCAAUCUCGAGUCCGGAAGAGGUUAGUGGAAUUCCCAGUGUAGAGGUGAAAUUCGUAGAUAUUGGGAAGAACACCAGUGGCGAAGGCGGCUAACUGGUCCGGUACUGACGCUGAGGUGCGAAAGCGUGGGGAGCAAACAGG
rnacentral:rRNA from 1 species